UGAGAGUGGCGCACGGGUGCGUAACGCGUAUGCAACCUACCUAUUACAGGGGGAUAGCCCGGGGAAACUCGGAUUAAUACCCCAUAGUAUAUUGAUCUCGCAUGGGGUUAAUAUUAAAGAUUUAUCGGUAAUAGAUGGGCAUGCGUAGGAUUAGCUAGUUGGUAAGGUAACGGCUUACCAAGGCUACGAUCCUUAGGGGUUCUGAGAGGAAGGUCCCCCACACUGGUACUGAGAUACGGACCAGACUCCUACGGGAGGCAGCAGUAGGGAAUAUUGGGCAAUGGACGAGAGUCUGACCCAGCCAUGCCGCGUGCAGGAAGACGGCGUUAUGCGUUGUAAACUGCUUUUAUACGGGAAGAAAAGGCCCAUGCGUGGGACAUUGCCGGUACCGUAUGAAUAAGCACCGGCUAACUCCGUGCCAGCAGCCGCGGUAAUACGGAGGGUGCAAGCGUUGUCCGGAUUUAUUGGGUUUAAAGGGUGCGUAGGCGGGAAUUUAAGUCAGCGGUGAAAGUUCAGGGCUCAACCCUGAA
rnacentral:rRNA from 1 species